UUUAUAAACUUAACAUUAUUUUUAUUAAUUCUGUAGGAUUUCUUUAUCAUCUGUGAUAAUGAAUGAUGUCACGAUUUCUUUACAAAAAUCAUUGAAGAAACGAGUUGGAGAUUAACGAAUGAAUGGUUUUGUUUUCGGUUGGAAUAUUGUUUCAUGUCGUCUCUCCAUUCCCUUCGAAAUUAUUCCUACAAGAUCAAUUAAAGAUGACAAUUUACCAAGGGCAUUUCUACUGGACGUCGGUCA